UACGUAGGGUGCAAGCGUUGUCCGGAAUUAUUGGGCGUAAAGAGCUCGUAGGCGGUCUGUCGCGUCUGCUGUGAAAACUCAGGGCUUAACCCUGAGCUUGCAGUGGGUACGGGCAGACUAGAGUGCGGUAGGGGAGACUGGAAUUCCUGGUGUAGCGGUGAAAUGCGCAGAUAUCAGGAGGAACACCGGUGGCGAAGGCGAGUCUCUGGGCCGUAACUGACGCUGAGGAGCGAAAGCAUGGGGAGCAAACAGG
rnacentral:rRNA from 1 species